rnacentral:rRNA from 1 species
AUUGAACGCUGGCGGCAGGCUUAACACAUGCAAGUCGAGCGGGGGAGGUUGCUUCGGUAACUGACCUAGCGGCGGACGGGUGAGUAAAGCUUAGGAAUCUGCCUAUUAGUGGGGGACAACAUUCCGAAAGGGAUGCUAAUACCGCAUACGCCCUACGGGGGAAAGCAGGGGAUCUUCGGACCUUGCGCUAAUAGAUGAGCCUAAGUCGGAUUAGCUAGUUGGUGGGGUAAAGGCCUACCAAGGCGACGAUCUGUAGCGGGUCUGAGAGGAUGAUCCGCCACACUGGGACUGAGACACGGCCCAGACUCCUACGGGAGGCAGCAGUGGGGAAUAUUGGACAAUGGGGGGAACCCUGAUCCAGCCAUGCCGCGUGUGUGAAGAAGGCCUUUUGGUUGUAAAGCACUUUAAGCGAGGAGGAGGCUUACCUGGUUAAUACCUAGGAUAAGUGGACGUACUCGCAGAAUAAGCC